GUCGAUAUGUCCGAGUGGAGACAGACUCGAAAUCUGUUGGGAUUUGCCUGCGCAGGUUCGAAUCCUGCUGUCGACG
rfam:Oryza nivara chromosome 7, whole genome shotgun sequence.